rnacentral:rRNA from 1 species
AACGAACGCUGGCGGCAUGCCUAACACAUGCAAGUCGAACGAGACCUUCGGGUCUAGUGGCGCACGGGUGCGUAACGCGUGGGAACCUGCCCUUAGGUUCGGAAUAACUCCCCGAAAGGGGUGCUAAUACCGGAUAAUGUCUUCGGACCAAAGAUUUAUCGCCUUUGGAUGGGCCCGCGUUGGAUUAGCUAGUUGGUAGGGUAAAAGCCUACCAAGGCGACGAUCCAUAGCUGGUCGGAGAGGAUGAUCAGCCACACUGGGACUGAGACACGGCCCAGACUCCUACGGGAGGCAGCAGUAGGGAAUAUUGGACAAUGGGCGAAAGCCUGAUCCAGCAAUGCCGCGUGAGUGAUGAAGGCCUUAGGGUUGUAAAGCUCUUUUACCCGGGAUGAUAAUGACAGUACCGGGAGAAUAAGCUCCGGCUAACUCCGUGC